CUUUGAGAGAUUAGAAUUCCGUCUCCUUACACACAUAUGCAGGGUCUUCUCACGGGCACAUAUCUAGGAGAAUUCCUGGCUCAAACUGUACGAGCAGUUUCAGCCUGAGCAGAUCUGUUGAAGCCUUUAAUCAGAGAAUCCACCCACCUCCAGUAUUAGGGAUUUAUAUGACCAGUGAUCGACCCUCAGUGAGCACAUGACUUCACUUGAACCAAUCAGAAUCUUUCCCUGAGGAUUUAUAUGUGUCUGAGAACUCUGCAGGCGGCAGACAUCAAAAGGACCAAAGAUUCUGAUAGUGAGUCAGCCGCCCACGGCAAUGAGACUUAAGCUCCAUGAUAGCAGGGACUUGGCCUUAUUCACUGUUCUAACCCCACACCUGGAAUCGUGCUUCACCCAAACUGAUGUAUCAGACAUUUCUGUGUCCCACCCUACACCCUCUUGGCCAGCAUUGAACUGCAGCUGUUGCUGUGGCAACCAGCUGUUCACAGGUAGGACCUGAAAGCAACUCAAGUUUAAGUCACUUAUUUCAUGUAUCUCUCACUUUCUUCCCUACAGCUUCUCGUCCCCACUCUACACGUGGAAUAGUUGCAAAAACCUUCUCAUCCUGAUGCAUCUAUAAACCUAGAAAUGCAAGAAAAUUUACACUCUAAUGAGGAACACUUGACCAACGGGGGAUGGA